UCUUCUUCUUCAGUCUGAUCUGAAAAUCAUCUUCAACACAUAUUCAAGAAAAAGGAAAAAAAAAAAGUUUUAUUCUAAGUCAUUUUUGGCGCCAAAAAGACCACUCUCAACAGUUUGGAUCGCUGCUCAUCUUCAACACAGACUCAAGAAAUCUCAGUAUGCUUCUACUCACAUUCCUUCCACAGUUGAACAUAUAAUGGAUCCUGGGGUUCCGAUUGCAUUGAGAAUGUCAGCUCACCUACUCCUAGGUGUUGUUCGUAUUUAUUCAAAAAGAAGUUGAUUAUCUUCUUAACGAUUGCAAUGCUGUUCGUACUGUUUUGUACAAAGUAUUUCCUUCUGUUUUAAAUCAUACUUUACCUGAGGAUGCGGGGCAAGCACCUGUUCAUUCUAUCACCAUGCUGGCCACUUUUGACCUUGAUUUGCUCACUGUGGACUAUGAAAUAGAUACUGACGGGUAUGAGGAUGUUCACACAAGGAGUCAAGAAGAUAUUGCACUUCCAGAUCAAAAUCCUAUUGUACAGGAUAAUUAUAUGACUAUGUUUCGAUGAGGAUGAAACAUUUGGUUAUUUGAACGCACAACAGCUACCAGAUUCUGAGGCAACACCAAUGGAGGAAGUUAUUAUUUCCCAAUCUCCAUCGACAAACAUAGUGGAUGUUCAAGACGGUGGUCCAAGUUUCCGCAGAGAGUCACAUACUACCAAUCAUACUGGUGAUGAUAACCUACGUAUCUUUCAGGAUCCUAUUAUAAAAGAGACAAUGCCAGUGGAAGAACUUCGUAAUCCCUCCAACGAUUAUGAUACUAUUGGAAACUUACCAGACCUUGGGUUUAAUGAGACUGAACCCAAUAUGGAUUUCAACCAAACUGUGAAUGAAAAAGAUCAAACUGUUGAAACCUCACCAACACAACCAGCUGGACCACAAACUCCAGUUUCUACUCAAGAUGGUGCCUCAGAUGCACCAGUUUGUGGUGGGCAUGAUUCUAGACCAACUUUUGAGUGUGGUUCUGUUGAAUUUAGGCCUAUUCAUACCCCUCAAAUGGAGCAGGGAUGACAGGAUCAGGUACAGGAUCAAAGGCAUCAAAGAGGAAGGAAGAGAAAACAAUUCUUUGAUGAUCCCAUAGUGUUACCAAAUAGUUUUAUGAGGGAAACCCUUAAUGAUACACGCAAGAUACUGCAUAAGAGAAAGGAUGUUACUACCUAUAUACUUUUGAUUCAUGGGAAUUGAAGUGCAAACGAUUGGAGGAUGUUUUUGACCAACCUUUAUUUACAGGGACAUGCAAGGAACUUAUAAACAUACACAAAAGGGAAUAUAUACAUUCAAAACCCCACUUGGUCAUCUCAUCUCUGAAGAAAACCAUGUCGCUGAUGAGCCAAUAACCAAUGCACCUGAGAUUAUUGUUAAUGCAUCUGAUGAGCCAAUUUUUUGAAGAAGCUAAAUUAGCCCACCCAAAUUGGCACCAGAGAGAAUCGAACCUCAGACCUCAAGAGGAGCACACUCCCAGGUUCCAAGCCAAUACCAAUGCACCAACCCAAAUGGGUCUUGCCCGGAUGUUCUUUGAAGUUUCGGUGUUAAAGACUCAUGAUCUUAUUGAUGUAAAACAAGAGGAGCCUUAUGGUGAUGUCAGCUUCAAGUUGACCCCAACACUUACAAAAGCUAAAAUUUGAUAUUUUCAGUUAUCUAUAGUCAGUCAGUCCUGUGCAGUCCCUGAUGUAGAUAGGCCAGGUUCUACAAUUUUUUGAGUAAACUUUUUAAGACUGAUAGUGGAAACAUGUAGUUUAUUUGGCAUGAUGAGAAAUGUAUAUUUUACCUUAGAGUAAAUUACAGGCUAACCCCUUGGAAGUGUUUCUUCAGUACUACAAGUUUACAACUCCUAGUUUCAAGUGUUUUAUUAUAGAUAGGCUAUUGUGUUGUGUUUUAGGUGUGAAUAAACUAACCUAAACUAGCUAUUCUUUAAACUGUUAGUUAGAAAAGCUCACAAGAUCACAUGUUCUCAGUUUUGCUAUGGCUUUGUCGAGCAUUUGGAAGCGGCGGAAUGAGAAACUUUGAAAUGGUGUUUUACUGUAGCCACACUUUUCCUUUCAUCUUGGUUUCCCUUCUCGGAGUUCCACAACCAGGCGGAAGCUUGGAGUUUAAAAAUGCAACAAAUUGGCUUGAAGGAUAGGGCGUCACAACAAUUUCUAUUGGACUUGACCGUAACCGUAAGCUAGCGGUAGGGCGGUAUCUAUCUUG